AACGAACGCUGGCGGCAUGCCUAACACAUGCAAGUCGAACGAGACCUUCGGGUCUAGUGGCGCACGGGUGCGUAACGCGUGGGAACCUGCCCUUAGGUUCGGAAUAACUCCCCGAAAGGGGUGCUAAUACCGGAUAAUGUCUUCGGACCAAAGAUUUAUCGCCUUUGGAUGGGCCCGCGUUGGAUUAGCUAGUUGGUAGGGUAAAAGCCUACCAAGGCGACGAUCCAUAGCUGGUCUGAGAGGAUGAUCAGCCACACUGGGACUGAGACACGGCCCAGACCCUUCCGGAAGCAGGCAGUGGGGAUAAUGGGACAAGGGGCGAAGGCCUAUUCCGCAAAUGCCGGGUAGUUGAUGAAGCCUUUGGGUUGGUAAGGCUCUUUACCCGGGAUGAUAAUGACAGUACCGGGAGAAUAAGCUCCGGCUAACUCCGUG
rnacentral:rRNA from 1 species